rnacentral:rRNA from 1 species
GUAGGUGGCAAGCGUUGUCCGGGAAUUAUUGGGGCGUAAAGCGCGCGCAGGCGGUUCUUUAAGUCUGAUGUGAAAGCCCACGGGCUCAACCGUGGAGGGUCAUUGGAAACUGGAGAACUUGAGUACAGAAGAGGAAAGCGGAAUUCCACGUGUAGCGGUGAAAUGCGUAGAGAUGUGGAGGAACACCAGUGGCGAAGGCGGCUUUCUGGUCUGUAACUGACGCUGAGGCGCGAGAGCGUGGGGAGCAAACAGGAUUAGAUACCCUGGUAGUCCACGCCGUAAACGAUGAGUGCUAAGUGUUAGGGGGUUUCCGCCCCUUAGUGCUGCAGCUAACGCAUUAAGCACUCCGCCUGGGGAGUACGGCCGCAAAGGCUG